GGCUCGAUAGCUUACUGGCUAAAGCACUCGGUUAGCAUACAAGCGUCGUGGAUUCGAAUUCAACCUGAGCGC
rnacentral:tRNA from 1 species